rnacentral:rRNA from 1 species
UACGAAGGGGGCUAGCGUUGCUCGGAAUCACUGGGCGUAAAGGGUGCGUAGGCGGGUCUUUAAGUCGGGGGUGAAAUCCUGGAGCUCAACUCCAGAACUGCCUUUGAUACUGAGGAUCUUGAGUUCGGGAGAGGUGAGUGGAACUGCGAGUGUAGAGGUGAAAUUCGUAGAUAUUCGCAAGAACACCAGUGGCGAAGGCGGCUCACUGGCCCGAUACUGACGCUGAGGCACGAAAGCUAGGGGAGCAAACGGG